UACGGAGGGGGCAAGCGUUGUUCGGAAUUACUGGGCGUAAAGGGCGCGCAGGCGGCUGCUCAAGUCAGGCGUGAAAGGCCUGGGCUCAACCCGGGAAUUGCGCUUGAGACUGGGCUGGCUUGAGUGCGGAAGAGGAUGGUGGAAUUCCCAGUGUAGAGGUGAAAUUCGUAGAUAUUGGGAAGAACACCGGUGGCGAAGGCGGCCAUCUGGACCGCAACUGACGCUGAGGCGCGAAAGCGUGGGGAGCAAACAGG
rnacentral:rRNA from 1 species